rnacentral:rRNA from 1 species
AGUCGAGAGAAGAGUUUGAUCAUGGCUCAGAUUGAACGCUGGCGGCAUGCCUUACACAUGCAAGUCGAACGGUAACAGGUUAAGCUGACGAGUGGCGAACGGGUGAGUAAUAUAUCGGAACGUGCCCAGUCGUGGGGGAUAACUGCUCGAAAGAGCAGCUAAUACCGCAUACGACCUGAGGGUGAAAGCGGGGGAUCGCAAGACCUCGCGCGACCGGAGCGGCCGAUAUCAGAUUAGGUAGUUGGUGGGGUAAAGGCUCACCAAGCCAACGAUCUGUAGCUGGUCUGAGAGGACGACCAGCCACACUGGGACUGAGACACGGCCCAGACUCCUACGGGAGGCAGCAGUGGGGAAUUUUGGACAAUGGGCGCAAGCCUGAUCCAGCCAUGCCGCGUGCGGGAAGAAGGCCUUCGGGUUGUAAACCGCUUUUGUCAGGGAAGAAACGGCUUUUUCUAAUACAGAGAGCUAAUGACGGUACCUGAAGAAUAAGCACCGGCUAACUACGUGCCAGCAGCCGCGGUAA